rnacentral:snoRNA from 1 species
UGGACCAAGGAUGAUGACUGGUGGCGUAUGAGUCAUGGGUGAUGAAUACCAUGUGUCUGAAUCUCUGAGGUUCAA